rnacentral:tRNA from 1 species
GGUAGGUUCUGCUAAUGGCAAGCACCGGGACUGAAAAUCCUGAAACGCAGGUUCGAAUCCUGCACCUACCACCA